AAGCCGGGUUACGGUGCCCAACUGCGCGCUAACCUAGAACCCACAAAGGGUGUUGGUCGAUUAAGACAGCAGGACGGUGGUCAUGGAAGUCGAAAUCCGCUAAGGAGUGUGUAACAACUCACCUGCCGAAUCAACUAGCCCCGAAAAUGGAUGGCGCUGAAGCGCGCGACCCACACCCGGGCAUCUGGGCGAGCGCCAUGCCCCGAUG
rnacentral:rRNA from 1 species